GUGCCUCUCCACUCCAGAGACACAUAUUCCGCUGUUGCGUCUUUGAACUUCACUCAGAGUCUUGACUCUUAAACAACUUUAUUGCAUAUUGAAUCAGACCAAUCAGUUUUCUUUCAUCAAGAUCAUCUAUAGUCAUCCUUAACACUGAGGCCUGCAUAUCAUUCUAUAUAUUUAAAAGAAGAUACUUUGUUUGGAGAGGUUACUUGACGCACGCACGCGCGCGCACACGCACACACCCUCAACAUGGCAACCACACUGGAUCUAAUAGGUGGUCAAGGAGGCAGUCCAUUUGAAUUCCACGGCAUGAACAACGGUGCCACCCUCAAGAAGAUCGGAGUGGCGGUGGAAGGCUGGCAGGUGAAAGCUGUGCGGGCGGAGCUUACCGACGGGAAAGUAGCAACUUUUGGAGAUGCUAACACUUUCAAUGAGUUUGAGUUCAAACUCGGCGAGCGCAUCACCAAGCUGUCUCUGUGGGGUAACGGCGCCGGCACACGUCUGGGUGCCAUCAAGUUCACGACGAGUGAGAACCGGGAGUUCUUUGAAAAAAUGACCAGCUGGGGACUGAAGACUGAGUACACCAUAGAUGUGGGCUCUGGAAUCUGCCUGGGGCUGCAGGGCAGGUAUGGCUCAGACAUCGACUGCAUGGGCUUCCUCUUCAUCAACACCAUCAAGUCGUCCGUGCUGACCGACAUGAAUUAUCCCACCCUGUCCCUCUUCAAACCCCAGGUGACCCCAGAAUAUGUGAAAUCUCUAUCUCACCACAAUGACACCUCAUUGGUUCAAGAAGAGUCCAUUACAUACAGCAAGACACUGACCAAGACUUCCUCCUGGUCCGUCAGCAACAAGAUAGAGUCCACCUUGAAUGUGUCGGUCAAAGCAGGGAUCCCUGAUCUGGUCGAGGUGACAUCAGGGUUCAGCUUGACCGUGGGAGUGGAGCAUUCCACCAGCCUGCAGAAGACAGAGACCAUAACAGAAUCGGAUACCAUCAAUCUGAAGAUCCCGCCAGGGAAGACCAUGGAUGUUGAGAUCACAGUGGGGAGAGCAAAUAUCGACCUCGACUACGAGGCCAAAGUGAAAGUCACCUGCAUGAAUGGCAGUCAGCUGGUCUUCCCAUCCAAUGGCGUCUACACUGGUGUGACUUACACUUCAGCGAGGGUAUCCACAAAGGAGAGAUAAUAAGUACAGUGAUAGAAUUAACUAAUUAUUUGUGUGCCUUUUCUGUUACUAUGAUCAUCUUUGAGUGAUUCUAAUUGAACCCAGUUGACUCAGCUCUUUCUGUUAUUAUGAUAAACUUUGAGUGAUUCUAAUUCAACCCAGUUGACUCAGCUCUUUCUUUCUGUCUCAGCAGAGGGUUUAACAACAGGUGGGUCAUUCCUACAAUACGGUGCCUUUGUGUUCCAUGACAUGUUACCACAUACACUAGAACACCUACU